rnacentral:rRNA from 1 species
AUACGGAGGACGCGAGCGUUAUCCGGAUUUAUUGGGUUUAAAGGGUGCGUAGGCGGUUUGCUAAGCGGGAGGUGAAAUGCCGGCGCUCAACGUCGGAAGUGCCUCCCGAACUGGUGGACUGGAAUGACUCUGCCGUGGGAGGAAUGUGUAGUGUAGCGGUGAAAUGCUUAGAGAUUACACAGAACACCGAUUGCGAAGGCAUCUCACGAAGGGUUGAUUGACGCUGAGGCACGAAAGCGUGGGGAUCAAACAGGAUUAGAUACCCUGGUAGUCCACGCAGUAAACGAUGAUGGCUAACCGCUGGUUUAUUCGGAUCAGUGGCCAAGCGAAAGCGAUAAGCCAUCCACCUGGGGAGUACGACCGCAAGGUUGAAACUCAAAUGAAUUGACGGGG